GGGGAAUAUUGGACAAUGGGCGCAAGCCUGAUCCAGCCAUGCCGCGUGUGUGAAGAAGGCCUUUUGGUUGUAAAGCACUUUAAGCGAGGAGGAGGCUACUUGGAUUAAUACUCUAGGAUAGUGGACGUUACUCGCAGAAUAAGCACCGGCUAACUCUGUGCCAGCAGCCGCGGUAAUACAGAGGGUGCGAGCGUUAAUCGGAUUUACUGGGCGUAAAGCGUGCGUAGGCGGCUUUUUAAGUCGGAUGUGAAAUCCCUGAGCUUAACUUAGGAAUUGCAUUCGAUACUGGGAAGCUAGAGUAUGGGAGAGGAUGGUAGAAUUCCAGGUGUAGCGGUGAAAUGCGUAGAGAUCUGGAGGAAUACCGAUGGCGAAGGCAGCCAUCUGGCCUAAUACUGACGCUGAGGUACGAAAGCAUGGGGAGCAAACAGGAUUAGAUACCCUGGUAGUCCAUGCCGUAAACGAUGUCUACUAGCCGUUGGGGCCUUUGAGGCUUUAGUGGCGCAGCUAACGCGAUAAGUAGACCGCCUGGGGAGUACGGUCGCAAGACUA
rnacentral:rRNA from 1 species